CAUGGCCUUUUGUUAAUAAAAUUUAAGGUCUAACCUGCCCAAUGAUGAUUUUUAUUUAAUGGCCGCGGUAUUUUGACCGUGCAAAGGUAGCAUAAUCAUUAGUUUUUUAAUUGAAAGCUGGAAUGAAGGGUUGAAUGAGAAAAUAACUGUCUUUAUAAUAUUUAAUUAUAAUUUUAUUUUUAAGUUAAAAAGCUUAAAUUAAAUUUAUAGACGAGAAGACCCUUUAGAGUUUUAUAAAAAAUAAUAUAAAAUUUUUUAGUAAUAAUUUAAUUUUAUUAAAUUUUUUAUUUGAUUGGGGUGAUUAAAAAAUUUAAAUAACUUUUUUUUAUAUAAAACAUUAAUAUAUGAAUAAUUGAUCCAUUUUUUAUGAUUAUAAGAUUAAAUUACCUAAGGGAUAACAGCGUUAUUUUUUUUGAGAGUUCUAAUCGAAAAAAAAGUUUGCGACCUCGAUGUUGGAUUAAAAUUAAAUUAUGGUGUAGAGGCUAUAACCGUA
rnacentral:rRNA from 1 species